AACUUUUUUUUAUUUUUUCAGGUUCUUAAUAAAGGUGCUAGGAAAGAAUGUAAAACAGGAAAAUAAUUAAAUAUUUUCACUGUGGUUUCUGUGCUACACUGGAGCUGAAAAAAAAAACUACAUGGGGAACACUAAGCAUCCUGAAAGCCAGGAAAUGGUAAGUGU
rnacentral:lncRNA from 1 species